rnacentral:tRNA from 1 species
GGUGAGAUGGCCGAGCGGUCUAAGGCGCUACGUUAAGGUCUUUCAAAACCUUAAAACUCAAUGUUAUCCGUAGUCCGAAAGGGCGUGGGUUCGAAUCCCACUCUCAUCA